rnacentral:rRNA from 1 species
CCUACGGGAGGCAGCAGUGGGGGAUAUUGCACAAUGGGGGGAACCCUGAUGCAGCGACGCCGCGUGGGUGAAGAAGCGCCUCGGCGCGUAAAGCCCUGUCAGCAGGGAAGAAAAUGACGGUACCUGAAGAAGAAGCCCCGGCUAACUACGUGCCAGCAGCCGCGGUAAUACGUAGGGGGCAAGCGUUAUCCGGAUUUACUGGGUGUAAAGGGGGCGCAGACGGCGAUGCAAGCCAGGAGUGAAAGCCCGGGGGCCAACCCCGGGACUGCGCUUGGAACUGCGUGGCUGGAGUGCAGGAGGGGCAGGCGGAAUUCCUGGUGUAGCGGUGAAAUGCGUAGAUAUCAGGAGGAACACCGGUGGCGAAGGCGGCCUGCUGGACUGCAACUGACGUUGAGGCCCGAAAGCGUGGGGAGCAAACAGGAUUAGAUACCCGGGUAGUC